UUUUUUUAAUAUUAAUUUAACGUUAAUAUAGGUAUGUAAAAAGAUAAAUUUUAAUUUUGCGCGUUUUCUUUCCUUUAUUUCUUUCUCCCUCUCUUUCUUGAGUAACGUCGCAAGAUGAGUCACGUGACGUUACCAGAUACACACACACGCAUACAAUACAAACCGCCAAUUUCACAUCUACAAUACAUAAGUACCAGUACUACGCUAGUAGAUUUUCUUUUUAUCGGAACAUUUCAGUGCAAUUCCAAUAUGUCUGGUGCAAUCUUAAGUAAGUUUUCUCUUUCUCGUUUGCCUUCAUAUUUGAUAUUCUUCAAACCGGUCGAAGACAUUUGCUUGAAAUAUUUCGAGGAGACUGUACGCUAUGCGUUUGUUGAGGAACUCAUUAGCUUGCACUCGCUUAAUCCCUAGUUUAUGCGCAACGAUUCCAGUCAUGAAAACAUCUUCGAGUUUAAGGUUUGCCUGAUUGCUGUCCUUGCUUCCACAUGCGUAGGUGCUGACAUUAUAAUAAUAACCAAGUCCAUUUCUUUGCCAAAAUCUGGACAUUUUUCUGGUAUAGGUACGGUUGAGCGAGGUGCUUACGGAAGACAAAACUUGAGAACUAGAUGACGUAGAAAUUGUAGUGAUAAUUGUUGCAGGAUUGCUUGCAUUAUGUUGAGAAUAAGAAUUCAAAGUCAAAGGUUCAUACGUCAUAUUUUUGGGCAUGGAUUGGAUAUCUAUGCUAUGGUUCGAUUGAUUUCUAAGUGCAUCCUGAUAAAUGGCGUGACCUGAAAUAAAUAAAUCUAUCAGAUGAUUGUUGCACAAAGGAUUUGGAAAGGAAUAAUUAUCAAUAAAGGAUGAUUCUCUACUAAGGCACGUUAUUCGACAGUCACCGAGGUGUUCUCCACUCUUCUUCUUUGAUCGAGCUUGCUGCUGCCUAGCACCCAACGGGCAACCCAUUCGCCACCCAUCGAUAUAUAGUACACGCAUCGACGUCGACCACGUUACUCGAAGCGAUUUUGCGUCGAUCCUUCCUCUUCCCUCCUUCUCUUCUCCUCUCUCCUCUCUUCACUCCCCACUUCCUAUUACUAUUUCCUGUUAUAUAUCGUACAGAGAUGUUAGUUUUAAAGCUGUAUAUUCAAUGUUAAAAAGUUUGGACAUAACAGUUUGUUGCUACCUAAACGUUUAGACCUGGUUCCCGCUCGAUGAAUCAUCUCAUCAGUAGGGCUGACGAGCGGACCCUACUACUUACUUUUACAUGCUCAAUAUAACACUCACUAUAGGGCAACACAGUUAGAUUUUCUAUACAACUUUGUAUGUGUAUAUAUAUAUAUAUAUAUCUAUAUAUUGUAACGUUCCUCUAUAUAUAUACACCGCUUCCAAGGAACGCCGUGUGAUUUUUAUUAGAAUCUGCGACGCCUAGCGGCAGACAGGACGAAGUCUGUACACUCACGACGAGGGUGUUCAUGGUUACCAUUAAAUUUCCAUAUGGCGCGAGAUUCGUCGAUAAAUGUUAUUUAUUGUUAAUCAAAUUUGGUCUUAUUUCUUUUGAAUUAAUAUCGUAGUAUUUAUAUCGUCAAAUUUUUUGGAAAUGAGAUUAUUAUUAUUUUUAUAGAGACCAUUUUAUAUUUUUAAAUUAAUUAUUGAUAUUUGUAAGGAAGGAUUGAUUAUUGUUGCAAUAGAAAGUAUGUGUAUGUAUAAUAUAUCUUAUAGAUGUUUCCCUCGCGUAGGUUGAAAUUCUUUAUCGCAAUGAAACCGGAUUUCCGAUCGUUACUCAUUAAAACGAUAAAAAGAAAACUAGUGAAAUAAAUAAAUUAGAAAUUCGAUAAACCUUCUCUUCUAUUAAUUCCGUUAUCAAUCUAAGUUUGCUUUUUUCGAUUAGAAAGCGUAUAACAUGUAUGUUCUACUAAACUAAAAAUGGAAUAUAUAUAUAUAUAUACAUACCUACUUUUAUCGUUUGUAUUCGGCCGAGUUUUCACGAUCAAUCUUACUCAGAGAACUAUACGCGAAUAGUCAUCUAUAAAUAUCAUGACCGAAUAUCUUUCACAUUUGCAUUAAUAAUUAUUGUCACUUCUUUUUGUUUUCUUUCUUUUAUUUUCUUUUUUUUUUUGUCAAACACAAAAUCCAAUAUUUCUAACUGAUGUAUAAAUAAUUUAAAUGUCAACAUGCGAUGAUAAUGAAAGAUUGAUUAAUCCUUUAUAUCAUUAUUAAUUAGUUGAUAUUUUUAGAUAGGUAGACUCAUCAAUGUUUUUCUUUAAAAGGGAGUAUAUAUAGUUAUAUAUAGAGAUAUAUAUAUUUAUAUAUAGUUAUAUAGUAGAUAUAUAUUUGUAAUACAAAAUACGAAUAGACGUACAUAGGUACAUACAUGAUCAUUGAUGCGUGAAGGCUCUUUGAAUGAGCAUUGGAAACGAACGCGGCGCCAUUUGCUCGAUAACCAUUCAAAGACACUGUACCGUUGACUGAUAGUUCAGCAAACAUUAUCUUUAGAUGUUUUUACAGAUAUAUAAAUAUUAGUUUAAGAAAAAGAAUUUAAUUAUUUUACUAAUGCAAACGCUCUUAACAAGCCUUCA